rnacentral:rRNA from 1 species
GAUGAACGCUAGCGAUAGGCUUAACACAUGCAAGUCGAGGGGCAGCACAAGGUAGCUUGCUAUCUGGGUGGCGACCGGCGCACGGGUGCGUAACGCGUAUGCAACUUGCCCUAUACAGGAGGAUAACCCGUCGAAAGACGGACUAAUACUGCGUAUGCUCACAACUUGGCAUCAAGUGGUGAGGAAAGAAAUUCGGUAUAGGAUAGGCAUGCGUCCCAUUAGCUUGUUGGUGAGGUAACGGCUCACCAAGGCAACGAUGGGUAGGGGAACUGAGAGGUUUAUCCCCCACACUGGUACUGAGACACGGACCAGACUCCUACGGGAGGCAGCAGUGAGGAAUAUUGGUCAAUGGGCGCGACCCUGAACCAGCCAAGUCGCGUGAAGGAUGACUGUCUUAUGGAUUGUAAACUUCUUUUAUACGGGAAUAACAAGAGUCACGUGUGACUCCCUGCAUGUACCGUAUGAAUAAGCAUCGGCUAACUCCGUG